GACGAACGCUGGCGGCGUGCCUAAUACAUGCAAGUUGAGCGCUGAAGGUUGGUACUUGUACCAACUGGAUGAGCAGCGAACGGGUGAGUAACGCGUGGGGAAUCUGCCUUUGAGCGGGGGACAACAUUUGGAAACGAAUGCUAAUACCGCAUAAAAACUUUAAACACAAGUUUUAAGUUUGAAAGAUGCAAUUGCAUCACUCAAAGAUGAUCCCGCGUUGUAUUAGCUAGUUGGUGAGGUAAAGGCUCACCAAGGCGAUGAUACAUAGCCGACCUGAGAGGGUGAUCGGACACAUUGGGACUGAGACACGGCCCAAACUCCUACGGGAGGCAGCAGUAGGGAAUCUUCGGCAAUGGACGAAAGUCUGACCGAGCAACGCCGCGUGAGUGAAGAAGGGUUUCGGAUCGUAAAACUCUGUUGGUAGAGAAGAACGUUGGUGAGAGUGGAAAGCUCAUCAAGUGACGGUAACUACCCAGAAAGGGACGGCUAACUACGUG
rnacentral:rRNA from 1 species